rnacentral:rRNA from 1 species
GGGUUGUGAGGUUAAGCGACUAAGCGUACACGGUGGAUGCCCUGGCAGUCAGAGGCGAUGAAGGACGUGCUAAUCUGCGAAAAGCGUCGGUAAGGUGAUAUGAACCGUUACAGCCGGCGAUGUCCGAAUGGGGAAACCCAGUGCAAUUCGUUGCACUAUCGUUAACUGAAUACAUAGGUUAACGAGGCGAACCGGGGGAACU